AGCUCCGUGGUGUAUAACAUAUCAGAUUGCAAAUCUGAGGAUGCAGAUUGACGUUCUGCCGGGGCUU
rnacentral:tRNA from 1 species